AAAAACUAUGGAGAAAAAGAAGGUGUGCCCAAGGCUGGACCGAAGUCAUCCUGCCCCUUCUUCAAAAGAGAGACACCUCCCAAGGCCAACGCCCUCCGGAGGGGCCCAGGUGCUCCUCCCUUCUGGCAUCUAUUCCGUCUGGCAUCUAUUCCGUCUGGCAUCUAUUCCUCUGCAAAGGAUCAGAAAGGAAGCCGCUGGCUCAAUGGAUUCUGGAUUUCGGGUAGACCUGACUGCUUUGGGGCAUCCUCAAUCGGGCGGUGAAGCCUCUGGGGGCAGAGGAGCGUCGUGGGAGAGGAGCGUCGUGGGAGAAAGACAAGCUAGGCUGCUGCUUCCCUACCCAUGCCAACUUCCCGGGUCUCGUCUUGAAACAAGAGCAGAGGCCUGAGACCCGGGCGCCAUUGCUGGCCAGGCUCCCCUCCCCCACACUCCUUUCUUUGCUUCUCGAAGACCCGGGAGGGAGGAGGCGGCGAGCGCCUCGGUGGAUAGAGCUGCUAUUGUGACCUUCCCGGGCUAAGCGGGGAACCCAGCGGAGUGUGUACUGCCCGCGGUGGCGGGGGAGGAGGUGACUGUGUGCAAGCCUCGAGUGCAGAGGGGGUGGCACCCGGGAAUAAAUAAAGGCUUGCAACCUCGGGCACUUGGACCCUUCGGAGAGCGUUUGGUUGUGUUUAGACUUGGGUGCUUCCUAACACUAAUUGCAGGCUCAAGAGGAGCGGAAUUUAUGGCGAAGGCCAAGGCGGCUUGUUUAUAAUUUAUGAAGUUUUAAAUGGUUGUGCCGCGGGCCCAGCUCUCUCCGGCGGGCGGCCGCGUGGGAGUGUGCCCUCCCAGAACUCGCCGCCGCCCCCACCCACGCUAGGAGUGAGUGUGCCUGUCACGUGACUCGCGUUGGUGGCAGGAAAGAACCAAGCAAUUCUCUGAAGUCUCCAGAACUUCAGAAGGUAGGCGAAGGCGGCAGGUUUGGUCGAAGCGACCCCUCCCCCUUCUUCCAACAUCCUCCCUCCACCGCCGGGCCUGUGAGGUUGCGGCUGCCUAGACGGUGGGAACCCCCAACCUGACACUUCCUUAGAGCCUAUGUGUGAGAGGAAGCUGAUGUCAGCCGGGCUAGACACUGUUUAAAGUAAUCCAUGAAACCCUAAGCCACAGAUGACGCUUGGGGUAUUGCAGACACCCGCAGACUCAGCAGAUACUCCUGUGGUAACACACCGCGCUGGGAAACGCCUGGAGCCAUGAUGCAUUAUGUAUUUUUAUUAUUAUUUAUGGUAUGAAGAGGAGAUGAGAGAAACCGGGCUGAAUCUAAACAGCCUGACAAUUCAUCUAUUUAAUAUUUAGCCAGUUAAGAAAGGUGGCUGUGGUUCCCUACGAGGCAGCUAGCAUUUCUUUGAUUUCCGUAAUAGCUUAAAAAAUAAUUUCUUACAAUUAUAAAUUCUGUCUAGGAAUGCAAAUUUCAGAGAAAACAAUGUUAAGCCUUGAGAGUGGGUAAAAUAUGCCUUCGAUUGAAGUCAUUUAUUCUGUUGAUACAAUUCUACAACAUAUAUACUUUAAACUUGCUCAGAUAGAGUGAAAUUUAGCAAAAGGAUAACCCCUCCCACCCCCAGCCUAACAUGCCAUUUUUAAAACAGCACAAAGGAACAAGGAAACUAAAUAUUCUUUUGAGCCAUCAUUACUGAGCGAAACACAAACAUCCAAAUAGAAAACGAUUGCUGUUGCACCAGAAGAGUAGAAGUUAUCUCCACACAAUGGGAAUUUCACCUCGUGUCACCAGGCUGGUAGUGGGAGUUGCAUAUUUGCCAAACCAACUAGAGAUGCGUGGGUGGACUUUGCUGAAAUACAAAAUAAUUGAACCUUGUCUGAAGGCCUUUUUCCAAGUGCUCCCUUCUAUAGAAGUGGGUGUAAGUGCUCGACCCUUCCUAGAGCCACACUAAUAAUAUUUACAAAACGAUUAUAAAUUCUGUAGACUAUUCGCCCAUUUUGCACAAAGAAACAGGAGUAAGCAAGGUGUUUAUACGUGUUGUGUUCUAUUAAUGAACCUUUCGUUAUUUUACAUUGUGAAGAAUGUUUGUUUUCUUUAAAAGUGAACUGCUGACCACU
rnacentral:lncRNA from 1 species